UCAAAUUAUAUUUAUAAACUGUUUCAGAUGGAAUGCGGAAUUCUAUAUUUUCGGUCAACGUAAUGUGUGCGCCGGUAUUACGGGAUCCACGUCCGAGGACCCCUUGUGGUCAUCAUCAUCUUUACCGCGGACCGUAUAAAACAUUGAUUACGAAAUCAUUGGCAUCCGCGUACAUUAUGUAAACGUGGCGGUCAAACGGAAUUUUAGUGUAGAUGAGGGUUAGACGUAUUAAAUUAUAAUUCUAACGAUUUUGCAUACAUUUCAGCGAAACGGAUACUGCGACAGUGCCCAUUAAUCAGAUUACACUGUACAUAUAUUAUGCACACGUGCCACGAAAUAGGAAUGUUACCAUUGCCGUGGGCGUGCCCAGAAAUUUUCCAAAGGGCAUGUGCGUUAGUUUAUAUUAGGGGUUCCUUGGUUCACUAUUGUCCACGAAGAUAAGUAUUCCGUCCAUGCGUAUGAUAAUAAUUAAAACCUAGCUUAUAGAUAUGUUUGUUUACACACAGUUAAAUUGGCAAAGGAAAUCAAAUAAAUUCGAGAUUUUAAUUUAAUAUUAUUCUUUGGCAGUCUUAUUUGUUAUCUGCAUGUUACCUGUGUGUAGCUUAAAAACAAUUUUUGAUCAAUAAUUAGUGAACACGUAAAUAGUUACACGUUAUUUAUUUGUACGUCGUCAUAAUAUAUUGUACAAUACAUUUUGAUUUCCGUUAAUAAUCAUAAAAAUAUUUUUUAAUUAAUCAAAAAUGUAACAGUACCCGGGCACAACCAUUUGUAGCUGUCCUCCUCCCUCUUUGUGCAUUUGGCUAUGACGACUACUUGAAGGGUAGUGAGUGGAGUUAUUAUAAUAUUUAAACAACACAGUCAUUUAGAUCUAGGAUCUUGUCACAAUAAUUAUUAUACAUUAAUACCAUAAUAGAUAGAUGAUGAUUUACUUGUAACGUGCGUAAAGGUGCGAAUUCGAUCACUGGUGAAGAAAGCAAGUGACACUAUAGCCCUAUAUGGUGAUUGUUAUCUCCUAUUUUUACCACGAAAUUCGACUGAUGAAUAUUUUGCGUGUGCCAUAUGUAUAAAAUAUAAUCCAUUAUUUUUUUUUUUCGCUGGUACAAUCGAAAAAAUUUAAACUCGAUGAUAUUAUUUGAUCGUUAUAAUAAUCAACGGUUUUCGAUUCUUUGGAAUUAUUUUUCUCAUUUGCGUUUUCACUACAACGGUCAUUAUUUAUUAUUUAAGCGUGAUUAACGCUCGUAAAUAUCCCGCCGAAUACUUGAACUCUCCACAGAAAUAUAACCAGGUCACGUAUGCAAACUAGGAUUCGGUGAAUUAGAUUUUAAAAAUAAUGAAAAAAAAAAAAACAUGUACCAAAAACCGUUUAGUUAUGGUUACGUUGAAAUUUGACGUAUAUAAAAAAUCGUACUUCCUCCGUAGAGUAAACGAUGUCUUAUGAAUCCGUUUACAGACCACUAUUGCGAUACGUAUGUGCAUAUAUUGGUCCGCGGUUUGCGCGUGAGGUUCAAUCGGUGUCGGGCGCCUCGUCGAUUACGGUAAUCCAAGCUUUAACCAUAACGGCCGAAAAAAAGCGCAAAGUCGACCGGAUUCCCGUGAAAAAAAAAAUAAAUAAAUAAAAGGAAAACCGAUCUCCAACAGAGCCUCGAUCACUCGCCUCGAGACUACGGCGGUGCUAUUCGGAAUCGCAAACAUAGGCGCCGACCUUAAGACAUUAGUGCGGGAGCAAAUUAUGUUAGAUAUUAUUAUGUUUUAUGUGUUUUUUUUUUUUUUUUGUGUUAUUAUUAUAUUACAUAAACAAAUACAUAAUGUGAUAUUUUAAACAAAUAAUUAUUAAUCAAUGUGCACGGGGGCGACAAUCGAGCGUUUUGGGCGCACGUGGAUGGAGACCGGCUGGCACGGAAUGUUUUCGAAAAGGAUUGGCCGACGUACCUGCAAUGAUGCGAUUUUUGUCCCGUCGAAACCGAUUUCGGCACGCCUCGAGCACGUGUGCACGCUGCUGCCAAACACAAUAUUGUGGUCGUGGUUUUCAAAUGUCGCUCACGUUCAUGCACAACACGUGACGGAACCACGAGAAGUCGCCAACGGCUGUGGGACGCGUACGAUUCCGAUAUUAUAAUAAUACGUGAACGCGCGAUCCUUUUUCGCUGAGUAAAUCCUUUUUCGUCGUGCGCCCCAUUGUCCACCCGAACAAUGUCGUGGUAGCCACUGCGCAUCUGCCGUUCCUGAAUACCUGUCAGUCGGAAACGAUACCAACACCCGUUCGUUUCUAAGCUGGACACACGCGGGCGAUAACUACCGAAUUCCCCGAAGGUAACUACCGAGCUAAACGUUACAUCGAGUAAGUGUGGACUUUAGCAAUAUGAAGCUGAAACUGAUCACGAUAACUCAUGGCUACAAACAAUCUGUGUCUACGAACCCUACCUCCUGGUCAUGAAUACAAAUAUCCCAUUUGAAAAUCACUGAACAGAGAGACUCAGAACCGGUGUAGCUUGCUGCAAAGUUAACACAAAAGAACUGGGAACUACUGAUGGAAAUACGACCAAGAGUACUCGUACGCCUGGACUACACAUGCUCCGAAAAAUCCCUUAUACAGGGGAAUCAAAACGCAUUUGACGUAUCCCAACACUGGGCAAAGACUGUUUAACAUUUAUAUCACCAUCAACAACAUUACCAGAGCGAAUUGUAAUUUAUA